rnacentral:rRNA from 1 species
UACGUAGGUCCCGAGCGUUGUCCGGAUUUAUUGGGCGUAAAGCGAGCGCAGGUGGUUUAAUAAGUCUGAUGUAAAAGGCAGUGGCUCAACCAUUGUGUGCAUUGGAAACUGUUAGACUUAGUGCAGUAGAGGAGAGUGGAAUUCCAUGUGUAGCGGUGAAAUGCGUAGAUAUAUGGAGGAACACCGGUGGCGAAAGCGGCUCUCUGGACUGUAACUGACACUGAGGCUCGAAAGCGUGGGUAGCAAACAGG